rnacentral:lncRNA from 1 species
CUAAAACGUACAAAACCAAACUGUGCUCUGACCACCUUGGGCACAUGUCGUCAGGACCUCCUGAGGUGUGUCACAGGCACGUGUCCUCAACUUUGGCAAAAUAAACUUUCUAAAUUACCUGAAACCUGUCUCAGAUUUUCAGGGUUGACAUUUUGGUAACCACAGAGGGAUUCUGAGUAGAGGUACCCCUGACCUUUGACAAAUCUAUCAGUGCUUAGUACCAGCAUGAGCUAAUUUUAUGGCUCAAACCAACAGGACAAUUUGCUGAGGUCUGGGAGUACACCCUCCAGAGAAUCCCUGAUCUCCCCAAAUCUGGUCAAAAUCUAAAGUUUAUUUUGCUGUAGAACUCCCCCCACCUUUUUGUUUUUUGGAGUUUUACUUGAUUCCAACAAGGAAUGCAAGAUUUCCUGUUUCCAUGACGAUGGAAGGCAGGUAACUCCUUUAUGGAGUUUGAGCUCACUCCCAGCAGGGAAUAUGAGUUUAACAUUUUUUGUUGUUUUUUUCCUCCUGCUUCUAGAGCGGUAGAAAGCAGUCUUUAGCCUGAGACCCAUCCCUAGUAAUUAAAGCCUCAUCAUCAGGCCCCAUAGAAGAUGCCAAUCAAAAUAAACUGCAUUCCUGAGACACAGGCCAGAAAUUAAAGCUAUUCAACUCCUCAACGCCAAGGGACUACUGUGGAACAGGAAUAAACCUCAUGAAAGAGGAGAAAAUAGCAACGAAUUUUAAAAGCUGGAACACUGAUGGACAACGGUAAAUGCAGGAAUAAGAAACAAAAAACCUAGGCCAGUACUAAAGAAAGCUAAGAAGUAACUAAAAUACCACAGAACGUCCCAAAAGUUUCAGGAAGCAGUGAUAUUUUCAAGUCCAGGAUGUGAAGCCAACCUCACAGGGUUAACAAGAAUUCUGAACAAAAAUAUAGUUAUAAUUAAGCAUUAAUCAGGCUGCACUUUGGCCCACUUCCUUGUAACCAAAAGUCAUGUAGCUCUAGAUACUGAUCACUUGUAUCCUCACUGUUCCUAUAGAUAGAAUUUCUGACAUUAGAGUCAUGGGCUUUUAAGAAUUAAUUGCAUCCCCCAUUGUUCUUAUAGAUGGGAUCUCUGACAUUAAUUAGAAUCAUAAGGCUUUUAAGAAUUGCUUAUGAUUUUUUCAGAUCCUGAAUUCCAGCUGAAGAGUUGACAUCAACCAGUUUGAAGCCUCCCUUCCCCCCGAAGAGGAACAAAAUCAGCAUGAGAAUACUGUUUCUUCCUCUCCUGUCCCUUGACUUCACCCUGCACUCUUUCCAAUCAUCUCCACACUUCAACCCAUUCCAAAACCCUUAAAAUCCCCAGCCCCCAACUACUCAGGGAGACGGAUUUGAGGAUUCCUCUUGUCUCCUUGAUUGGUGGCCCUAUGGUUAAACCUUUCUCUGCUACAAACCAGUGUCUCUGCGUAUUGACUUGCUGUGUGCAUUAAGUGACGAACCUAUUGUGUGGUUACAGUAGGAGUAAAAAAAAGAGAAGACUGGUUGAAAGGCUAAUUUAAAACUUGUUAUACCUCUAAUCCUCCCUCUGUACUCCCAAAACAGCAUGCUGAUUCUCUAGAGAAGGUCAAACGCUGGUCUUAGGAUUGAGUGGCCAAGCACAUUUGAGGACAAGGGUACCCUAUCAGUGAGCUAUUGCUGAACAGCAGCUAUCCCAGAACUCGGUGGCUGACAAACAAGUCACAUGUUCAUGCCCAGGUUCAGGAGAUGCUGCACUUUCUCUCAUCUACCACAGGUAUUGUGUUGAAAACAAGAGAAUUAAAAGCAAGUUUACAUCCAGAAUACUGACAGACAUCUUCUAGUCCUCUUUACCUACUUGACUCCCAGGCCAUGGGUAGCCAUGCAUACCCCUCCCAAAAAGAAAUGGGGCAGCCUUCUCUAGGACAUCUGACCAGCCAGGGGAAAGACAAAUGAUCUGACAUCAGGAGUUCCCCAAGGUAAUGGCCUGACAGACAAUCCUCAUCUUGAGAGCUGGCUGACCAUCAGGUAGCCCAGCACUCUUCAAAGGAGCA